rnacentral:rRNA from 1 species
GAUGAACGCUGGCGGCGUGCCUAAUACAUGCAAGUCGAGCGAACAGAUAAGGAGCUUGCUCCUUUGACGUUAGCGGCGGACGGGUGAGUAACACGUGGGUAACCUACCUAUAAGACUGGGAUAACUUCGGGAAACCGGAGCUAAUACCGGAUAAUAUUUCGAACCGCAUGGUUCGAUAGUGAAAGAUGGUUUUGCUAUCACUUAUAGAUGGACCCGCGCCGUAUUAGCUAGUUGGUAAGAUAACGGCUUACCAAGGCGACGAUACGUAGCCGACCUGAGAGGGUGAUCGGCCACACUGGAACUGAGACACGGUCCAGACUCCUACGGGAGGCAGCAGUAGGGAAUCUUCCGCAAUGGGCGAAAGCCUGACGGAGCAACGCCGCGUGAGUGAUGAAGGUCUUCGGAUCGUAAAACUCUGUUAUUAGGGAAGAACAUACGUGUAAGUAACUGUGCACGUCUUGACGGUACCUAAUCAGAAAGCCACGGCUAACUACGUG